CAGAUGCACCGACGCGCGGCAGCAGCGCUGCCGAGGUGACGGCGGCGCUGGGAUCCCUGCCGCGCCGGCCCGGCCUGGGUGGAAGCCCGAAGGCUGUCCCUGGAAACGCAGACGCGCCGGUUAGCUGUUGGGGUGCCCGCGCCUCCCCGCACGCGCCGCGGAGCGCCGAGGGCACCUGCUAACGGAGCUGACCUGAGCGGGGGUUUGAACGACUCCAUUUUAAAAAACGGCCCGCCGCCAGGUCACACGAGGGGACGGGGCGCUCCCGCGCUGCGGCCUCGGUCGGCGCUCGGCAGGGGUCGCCGCCCGCCCUCCUCAACCGGCUGAGGUGAUGCCUUCGCCGCGGGGAGGCGAGGGACGCGACAGCUACGUGCCCAGUGGAGUCCUGAACCGGCUUCCAUUCAUGGCUCUCAGUGCUUGGCUUUGAAGUAGAGAAAGAAGCUUGGUACUCAUUAGCAGCCACUACCUGCACCUCCUCCAGCCCUCCAGCACCAAUCUGUCUCUAGGUGUACCUAUUCCAGACAUUCCCUUCUGUCCAGGUCCUCUACAGUGUUUAUCUUCUAUGGUGUUGCCCUCAUCUAAAGGUUAAAGCUGAGUCACUGCUCAUUUGCUACCCAGCCUGCAGGAAAGGAGAAAAGAGAAUGGAAAAACAUGACGAAUGGUUUGAGAUCAAACUGCAGAAAUGACAUUCAGCAAUUUCGCUCGCGUCCCACAGGCCCCAGUUGGUCCUGUGGUCAUACCUAUCUCCAAAGGAGAGUGGAAAACUUGAGAGUUCGGCUGCUAAGUGAAGAGGAGGCGGAGGAACAUGAGGUAACAGUCAAAGAUGACCUCCACACUUUAUUGGGAGGGAGGCACCUGGACAAUGUAUUUGCAUGGGAUCUAAGAUACUGUACAGCUCUUAUUUCUCUCACUCCUCUGGACUCAGCCCUUUUUGUAUCCCAUGUCCUCCGGAUCAUUCACUGUGUCCAGGAAAAAUAAGGUGCUGUAAUUGACCAUGCCUGGGCCACAAGUACAGGCCCAUCACUAAAAGAGAGGCUACUUGCUGGCCAAUAUAACAACACAACUAAGGACCUCUUUUCCAAAUACUGAAGAUGAAAGCUAGCUUUCUUCUCUCCCCAACGUCAAAUCAUUCCAUGAAGUUUCUGCUAUGCUGCUGGGGCUUAUAUUUUGAUACACCAUGUUAUCAGAUAUUCAUGGAUUGUCUCACUUUUUAUGUAUGAUACUGCCAGUCUCUUGUGAUGGCUGUCAUGAUCAAGUUUAAAGAACAUGGACACUGCAAUCGGAGAGACCUGGGUUCAAAGGCAUCUCUAUCAGUUGUGAAUACAAAUAGUAUCACCAUGAUUGAUCACCACAUAUCAGGCAUGGUACUUUACAUACACUGUCUACUAUUUCUGCUUCUCAUGCAAACCCUGAGAAGCCGUUUGGUCACCAAUUUUCAGAUCUAAAAAAAAUUCAAAGCAGUAAUUAACUUUCCCAAAGAUAGUCAGUACUGGAGCCAAAAAGAGUACUAGCUCAGUGUAACUCUAGAGACUGGAUCACUAGGAUAAAUUGGUUUUCCAUGUUUUCUUUGCUUUGGAAGCACCUACAGAAAUUUUAGUUUUCAAUAGUAUAUAUUGUUUUAGCAAGAAACCUGUGACUUUUGACAAGUUACUUAUCUUUUCCAAAUCUCACAUUCUUUAUCUGUAAGCUUUGAAAGUUGGGACUAGAUUUCUUUUAUUCAUUUCAGUGUGAAGAUCUGAGAGUGUUAUUCUUUCCACUAUUACUGAAUUUCAUGACGCUAACAGUAGAUGGUGCUAUUGAGUAUUGAUUUAAAAACCAGUAAAAACAGUCCUAAUUCCCAAGUACUUAAGUUCUUAUACGGGCAGUAUGUGCCUUUAUAUCAGAGCAUUGGAAAGUCAGGGCUGCCUUGAAAAUGUAUACCUUAGGAGUUUCCCAAGCUCAAAGAUUUGAUGCUACUUUAAAAUACUAAAAAAAAGAGAGGUUUAAAUAUGUAAUCCACAUAUUGGCCCAGACUUUCAUUUGCUGUAUUGGAUAUUUUAAGAUGAUUUAUUAACAUUAAAAUUCUGACUAAAACAGAUGAUGUCCAUUUCCUAAUUAUUCUGAAGAUGAAUCAUAACCACAGUUUUGCACUCUAAGGCCCAUAAUUGUCUUUCAUGUUUAUUACAGGUAUUUUAACUCCAUAUAUAUCUUCCUAUAAUUUAAUCUACAGCAAGGAAAAAUCUUUCAUAAAUAUUUUCCCCUUUAUUUCUUAACUUCAAACAAUUUUAUGAAUGUUUUAAUCCUCAAGAUUUAGUUUAAAAAUAAAUACACAGUUUCAUGCCAUAUUGUUGUUUAGUAGCACAGACCCAUGAUUUUCUGUUAAGGAAAAAUUACAAAAUCAUCUUAUGUGUGGGGAGACAAACCUAGAGAGGUAAAAUAAUUUUCCCAAGGUUAUGUGCCUGCUUAAGCACACAGCUAGUAAAGGCUCCCAGGUUUCCUGCCCUACAGUGUCAGAUACUUUUCAUUGUACUUUCUCAGUUUAUACAUUCACUAGAGUUUGUUUCUGUUUGUCCCUUCUGUUUCAGAAAUUAUUUAAGGCAACAUAUUUUAAUGAUACUUCUUUAUAAAUGUUUUACACUUCUAACACAUUGAAAGUGAUUUUAUCUACAUAAAAAUGAAAGGAGUAGUUGCAAAUGCUAAACAAUCUCCAGAAGCUAUGUACUUUUUGCUAACUGCUAUGCAAGUUUAAAAAUGUAUACAGUUUGAAAGACAGUAGAGACCUAAAUACAUGGAGUGACAUCUUAUGUUUAUAGAUUGGAAGAUAUAUCACUAAGAUGGCAAUGCUCCCCAAUUCGAUCUACAGAUUUGUAUCAAAAUCCCAGCUGGCUUCUUUGUAGAAAUUUGCAAGUUGAUCCUAAAAUAUAUUUCACAAUUCAAGGGACCUAGAAUAGCCAAAACAAUCUCUAAAAACAGCAAAGAUGGAGGAUUCACAGUAAAUACAAACUUACUUGAGAGCUACAGGAACUAAGACAGUGUGGUACUGGCAUAAAGGGAAACAUAGAUCAUGAAAUAGAAAUGAGAGUCCAAAAUCACCCUCACUUUAAGGGCGAUUGCUUUUUGAAAGGGCACCAAGGCAAUUAGAGGAGGAACGAAGAGUCUUGUCAGGAAAUGAUGCCGGGUAACUGGGCCUCCACAUGUGAAAGAAUGAGAUCGCACCCCUACUUCACACGUAUACAAAAAUUAACUCAAAAUUAAUUGAAGACCUACCUGUAGGGGCUAAAGCUGUAAAACUUUUAGAAGAAAAUAUAAGCGUAAACUUGAUGACCUGGAAUAAGGCGAUGGAUUCUGAGAUAUGCCAACAAGGGUAUUAGCAAGAACAAAAAAUAAAUCUCCUGGACAUCAUCAAACCUUUAAAACUAUACUUCAGAGGAUGCUGUUUAAAAGUGAGCAGACAACCCACAGAAUAGGAGAAAAUUUUGCAUAUCGUGUAUCUAAUAUAACCUCAUAAAUAUCUGAUAAAGAUAAGUAUUGUCAAAAACUGGAUUUGGAUCCAAAAAUACAGAUAUACAGGGAAAAAAAAUCUAGCCUAAGUAAAGAACUAUUACACCUCAAUAAUAAAAAAGGCAAAUAGCCCAAUUAAAAUAUGGGUAAAGUCUAGUUAGCAUCUGUCACCAUACACAGUUACAUCAUUUUUUCUUGUUAUGAGAACUUUUAAUACCUAUUCUCUUGCAAACUUUUAAAUAUUUAGACUUACUGUGGUGACCAUUUUGCAAUAUAUACAAAUAUCAAAUCAUUAUUUGUACACCUGAAACUAAUAUUAUAUGUCAAUUAUACCUCAAUAAAAAAUAAAUAAAAUUUAAGGGUAACUCCUAACUAGGUAAAAUCCAUGAUACUACACCUAAGGGUGAGCUGUAGAAUCAUUCUCUUUAAUAUCAGAAUGAGACAAGAUGCCCAUUAUCACUGUUCCUUUUUGAUACUUUUCUAGCUUCCUACAAAAGCAGUUAGGGAAGAAAAAGAAAGUUGUAGGAUUUCAACAGGAAGAAGCAAAAUCUUACUUAGGUAGAAAGGAUAUAAUGGACUAAAUAAUAGUGUACCCUCGUCAUGUUCAUGUGUGCUCUCGCCCUCCCAAAAGUAGAUAGAAGGCAGAGCUCAUAUUUUCAUGUUUCCAGGUUCUCUUAUAGUCAAGGCAUCAUCACUUCCCUGGGGUUUUAUCAGACUUGUAUGUGCAAGAAUCCUAUCUGAAAGUGAAGUACAAGAGGAAACAUUUUUUGAAUGCUUUAAUUUAUGCUCUCAUUAGUAGUGGCAAAAACACCAUAAAGAUGUCAGUUCUACCCAAAUUAAACUAGAGGUUCAGUGCAAUUCCAAUCAAAAUAACCACAGAGAUUUGGUGGAAGUUGACAGACAAAUCCUAAAAUCCCUAUUUAGGUAGAAAGGUCUAAGAAUAGCUAAGGUAAUUUUGAAGGUGAAUAAAGAGAGAUUUACCCCACUAGCAAUCAAGGUGCAUUAAACUUAUAAGGCAAUUAUUAAAAAUCAGGGGAGACAAAGAGGCCAGUGUACUAGGACAGAGAGCUGCAGGAGAGACCAACCUAAAACAUAAACAAAACAAUGGGGAAAGGACAGAUGACUCAAAAGAUGACACUCCUAAGAAACACUUAGCUCUCCCCAUAGAUAGAAAAGAUAACAAAGGAGCCUAAGAAAAUCAGAGUCACUGGGAAAGAAGAACACUCAUCCUGGCCUUCUCCAGGAGUGGUUUUGCCCAUCAGCAGGUGAAACCCCAGACGGUGGUUCUGAGAGUUCUUCCCUAGGACUUGGCUGCUGGGAUUGAAGACUGGCAGAGCCAGCUGCUGCUGUACAGCAAAUGUGGGCUUUGAAAUGCACUUGCCCUGAGGGUCUCCUAUAGAGACUUUGGUAAACAUGGGGCCCCAGAAUGCCGUCUGCAUGGCUUUGCGCAUCAGCCAGAACUGGACUGAGCGUGGUGUUGGAGAAUGUACUCCAGGGAGCUGUUUCAGAGGCUCUGGUCUCUAAAUGCUAUAAGGCUUUUUUGUUGCCCUGGUUAUGGGUGACAGUAAACAAUUGCCAGGGGUCAGAGUAGACAGAUAAUAGUGAUACAUAUUUGCUAGGCUAUUGCAAAACUCUAACUAGAUUAGCAACAUAUUCAUUCUUAGAUCCAACCCCUCUUCCUUUCUGAUGUCUCCCCACCUCGU